rnacentral:lncRNA from 1 species
UUACGACGCCGCGUUAAGAACGGAUCCCCUUCGUAAGUCGAGGACUACCUGUAUAUUCUGUGCAUCCCUGUGUGAACAUUUUUUGAAAAUUCAAUUACACCUUAUUUGCUUUGGAUUACCAAAAAAAGUGACUAUUCAUGCAGGAUUCACGUAGGAAUAUUUUUGUUUUACUAAGUUCAAUCUCUUAUUAUCAUUUAAAAAAAAUUCUAUCUCUUAUUUUUUUUAAUGAUUUUUUGAAAGCGGUGGAUUUCCAUGCGCACAGGGUUAUGUGACCUAGUAGAAGCCUUGAGAUGCUGAAAGCUUAACUUUAAGUCUGCUAAGUUACAAAGCAAGUGCUCAAUUACAAAACAAAGUGGAAACUCGUAAAAGAAUGAAUGACUUGAUAAAUAAAUUUCCUAGUUUCCUACAUCUAUUCUAGGACCCACAUCCUUCACACUCACACACCUUUCACUUAGCAGUUGAAAUGAUUAAGGAAAUGAUUUUGUGUAUAUAUAUAUCUUGCUUCUGAUCUUUUGGAAUAGCAUUAGGUUUGCCUGAAUUUAAUAAGUUCUCCUGCAGCGACAUUUUGAGAUAAUUUCCUGACAAGUUUCAUUGCAACAAAAACCCAAGUUCCUCUGCUUGACACCAAUGAUCUUAUAACUAACAUGGGCAGUAGUGUUCAAACUGUUCCUAUCAUGGACAAGGAUUUGGCAUGUUAACCAGUGCUUGUAUUUGUGGGGAUUUGAUUGUAUAACCUUUUACUUUAAGAAUUCUUGAAGAAAUAUUUUGUGUAAUCUAGCACUAUUUGGUUCAUUCGAUGCACUUAGUUCAUGUUUUUCAGAGUGUCAGCAGUUUCUGAAGCUUGUGAUUCAAGAAUAUUUUUUAUUCACCCUUUCAAGGGUAUUGAGAUAUUAAAAAUGUACAUAUAUUCACAGGCAUUACUAUAUAUCUUAUAUGCAAUAUCCUUCCCACACACACACACAUUCACAGAUCAGUUUGUAACAGUUAAUACAUUAAAAGCUCAUUUUUUACCUUGUUCUUUCCUUCUUCUAGCCCUUUAACGCAAAUUGCAUCACUGCAUGUGUAAUCAAAUAAAUCAAAGUAUAUAAACACAUGUAAAUAAAAAAGUUUUGGAGGGGAUGUUUCUGCAACAGGAAAAGGAGGUGACAGGAGGGAAACUGCCAGAGGGGUUCUAGUUUCUCUUACAAUCUUCAGAGGAUGUUGACCGUCUGGAGUGGGAUUGGAAGACUGACCUAGGAAAACGGACACACUCGGAAUGCCAUGUGGCGAUGGGAGGAAUAUUCACUUUAAAGCACGUGGUGAGGAGCAUACUAUCUGUGCUAUUUUCAACUGACUCAGCCCGGUGUUAUAACCUCAAUGGUCUGAAGGGAAGAAGGGACUCAAGAACCACUCCUUUAUUUUACAAACAGUUCAGGAUGCUGCAAGAAAAAGUUAUCCUGAAGCUACAGAUGCUGACCUGCAGGUGCAUAUAUCACCUUGGUUAGCUGGUGCUCGGGAUCGAGAGAAUAGCAGAAGGGAAAGGGCUGAGCACAGCCUGUACAAGUCAGUAAAUUGUUAUGGGGUGGACGACGAGUAAAACUGUACAACUUUACCUGCAGAAAAAAAAAAACUGUUAGGUUUCACGAAAUUUUUUUAACAGCUAUUUAUAAAAGUACAAGUUUUCAAUUUGAAUAAUUUUUAAAAAUGGUUGUAGUUAUUACCAGAAGCUGCAAUCCAGCCUGGAACUGUUUAUAUUUAAUUUCGUGGAUUUUAUUUAUUAUAAGAAAUGACUGUUGUAGCUUAAAUCACUCCCUUUUCAGAACCAAUUCAGUUCAUGCUCAUCAUUUGAUAUAUUGUAAUAGAUCUUUGAACCUUUUCUUUGGGAAAAAUCUAAUUAGUGUAAAACUGCAAUUUAGUUUUAAUGGUUUUGUCAAUGGAUAUAUGUUUUUGCUUCUUCUACAACUCAUAAUCAAAUGACGAAUGUUGCAUUAACAUGUCAUGAGGAAACAUUUUUUAUGCAUUUAAUUGGGACAAUGCUUCACAAAUUGUAUAUUUUAAAUUAUUUUUUUAAUUACCUUGCUUUUUAUCCUUAUUUUCACAGACUUUUUAACUUCAAUAAACGUCAGUAAAAGACAUAUCAUGUUUGUGGUUUUUUUUUGUGUAACAUUUUGCAUUUUUUUGUGCACUUUUUUGCUGCUUAAUUAAUGUAAUCAUGGCAAAACACUCCUUAUUAAUCCAUUUGUUUGGCAUUUAUAGGGUUAUUUUGAUGUAUUUGAUAUUAUGGGUAUUUUUAGGAAUUUUGGCAUAUCCUGAUUUAAAACAAUGUAAAUCAAUAUAUGCCCAUGUCUUUCAAUGCUACUAGGGAUAGGACGUUGCGCAAGACUCGAUUAUUCAAGCGAGGCAUGCAAAGAGAAUGUACUGAACUUUACAAGAAAAAAAAUAUUACAAAGUUAAAUUUAACAGUUGAGAAACAAAUGAAACUUUUAGGUUCAAAUUAUUACAGCUU